rnacentral:rRNA from 1 species
UACGUAGGGGGCAAGCGUUGUCCGGAUUCAUUGGGCGUAAAGAGCGUGUAGGCGGCCAGGUAGGUCGGUUGUGAAAACUGGAGGCUCAACCUUCAGAGGUCGACCGGAACCAUCUGGCUAGAGUCCGGGAGAGGAGAGUGGAAUUCCUGGUGUAGCGGUGAAAUGCGCAGAUAUCAGGAAGAACACCCGUGGCGAAAGCGGCUCUCUGGAACGGUACUGACGCUGAGACGCGAAAGCGUGGGGAGCGAACAGG